rnacentral:rRNA from 1 species
GACAGCAGCAGCCACGGUAGUACGAGGGGGGCAAGCGUUGUUCGGAAUUAUCGGGCGUAAAGGGCGCAUAGGCGGCUUUGCAAGUCUUGUGUGAAAUCUCUGGGCUCAACCCAGGGGCUGCACGAGAAACUGCAGGGCUUGAGUAUGGGAGAGGUGAGUGGAAUUUCCGGUGUAGCGGUGAAAUGCGUAGAUAUUCGGAAGACCACCAGUGGCGAAGGCGGCUUACUGGCUCAUUCUAGACGCUGAGGUGCGAAAGCGUGGGGAGCAAACAGGAUUAGAGACCCCUGUAGUCCCUGUCUCUUAUAC